GAAAAUCAAACACUGGUUUUUAUACUGGUUCGGCCAACAAUGUGUAUAUCUAGUGUCCUUCCAAUUUUGGAAGCAAAUGCACUAUAAUGGUUGCGAUUUUUACAACAAGGAAUUUAUAGAAGCACCACGCAAAAAUAUAAAUCUCCUCUCUAACCCAAAACCAAAUAUAGCUGCACACACAAAACCAGAAUUGUAGCAAGAAUCCCCUCUUCUGCAAUCUGAACCCACAUCGAACAAUCCUCAACGUGUAACCAGCAC
rnacentral:lncRNA from 1 species